GACGUAGGGGGCAAGCAUUGUUCGGAAUUAUUGGGCGUAAAGAGCUCGUAGGCGGUCUGUUGCGUCCGCUGUGAAAACUCGGGGCUUAACCCCGAGCCUGCAGUGGAUACGGGCAGACUAGAGGUAGGUAGGGGAGAAUGGAAUUCCCGGUGUAGCGGUGAAAUGCGCAGAUAUCGGGAGGAACACCGGUGGCGAAGGCGGUUCUCUGGGCCUUACCUGACGCUGAGGAGCGAAAGCGUGGGGAGCGAACAGG
rnacentral:rRNA from 1 species